CGCGUAGGCGGUUUUUUAAGUCAGAUGUGUAAUCCCCGAGCUUAACUUGGGAACUGCAUCUGAGACUGGAAGGCUAGAGUACUGGAGAGGGUGGUGGAAUUCCUCGUGUAGCGGUGAAAUGCGUAGAGAUGAGGAGGAACACCAGUGGCGAAGGCGGCCACCUGGACAGUAACUGACGCUGAGGCGCGAAAGUGUGGGUAGCAAACAGGAUUAGAUACCCUGGUAGUCCACGCUGUAAACGAUGAACACUUGGUGUGGAGGGAGUUGACCCCUUCGUGCCGGAGCUAACGCGUUAAGUGUUCCGCCUGGGGAGUACGGUCGCAAGGCUGAA
rnacentral:rRNA from 1 species